GGAGUUUGGGCCGUGUCUCAGUCCCAAUGUGGCCGUUCUACCUCUCAGUACGGCUACUGAUCGUCGCCUUGGUAGGCCUUUGCCCCACCAACUAGCUAAUCAGACGCGGGCCCAUCUCAUACCUAUAAAUAUUUGAUCACAGUAUCAUGCGGUACUGCAAUGUUAUGCGGUGUUAGCAGUCAUUUCUAACUGUUAUCCCCCUGUAUGAGGCAGGUUACCCACGCGUUACUCACCCGUCCGCCACUAAAGUAAUCAAGAGCAAGCUCCCAAUUACUUCCGUUCGACUUGCAUGUAUUAAGCACGCCGCCAGCGUUCAUC
rnacentral:rRNA from 1 species